UACGGAGGGUGCGAGCGUUGUUCGGAAUCACUGGGCGUAAAGCGCGUGUAGGCGGCCCAUUAAGUCUGAUGUGAAAGCCCGGGGCUCACCCCCGGAAGUGCAUUGGAAACUGAUGGGCUGGAGUCCCGGAGAGGAGGGUGGAAUUCCUGGUGUAGCGGUGAAAUGCGUAGAUAUCAGGAGGAACACCGGCGGCGAAGGCGGCCCUCUGGACGGUGACUGACGCUGAGACGCGAAAGCGUGGGGAGCAAACAGG
rnacentral:rRNA from 1 species